rnacentral:tRNA from 1 species
UCCGAUAUAGUGUAAGANCUAUCACAUCACGCUUUCACCGUGGAGACCGGGGUUCGACUCCCCGUAUCGGAG